AUCAGACGAUGCGUCAUGCAUAUCAAUAAGCGGAGGAAAAGAAACUAACUAGGAUUCCCUCAGUAACGGCGAGUGAAGCGGGAAGAGCUCAAAUUUGAAAUCUUCAAGGUUCUACCUUGACGAAUUGUAGUUUAAAGAAGUGUUUUCUGUUGGAGUUUUGGUAAAAGUUCUUUGGAAUAGGACAUCAUAGAGGGUGAGAAUCCCGUAUUUGACCAUUAUUUCCAGCUUUGUGAUACACUUUCAAAGAGUCGGAUUGUUUGGGAAUGCAGUCCAAAAUGGGUGGUAAAUUUCAUCUAAAGCUAAAUAUUGGCGAGAGACCGAUAGCGAACAAGUACCGUGAGGGAAAGAUGAAAAGAACUUUGAAAAGAGAGUUAAACAGUACGUGAAAUUGUCAAAAGGGAAGCGUUUGACACCAGUGUUGUUUUCUCGAAAAUCAAUUAAAAAAGGCAGGAUUUUGUGUUGUAUUGACUUUAUCAGCUUUCUGCACUCUUUUCUUGUCUUUUUUUAAUGCACUUUUCGUUUAACAAGUCAACAGUCAAUUUCUUUUGUUGUAAAAGGGUCAUUGGAAGGUGGCUUUCUUUUCGGAGAAAGUGUUUAUAGCCUUUGGCCUCUGCAAUCGGAGAGAUUGAGGUCUGCAGCGUAGAUCCUUCGGGGUUAGAUACAUUUGUGCUAAGUUAUAGCCUUUCAUAGACAACUUGUUGACUAUGAUCAGUCAUGUAGCUUACUCGCUUAUGCUAUUUUACCUACGCUUAGGAUGUUGAUCUACAGAGCGAGAGU
rnacentral:rRNA from 1 species